UCGACCUUAGCUCAGUUAGUAGAGCGGACGACUGUAGUUUGAUUAAUCUGAAAUUGGAAAUCCUUAGGUUCGUGGUUCGAAUCCGGCAGGUCGGA
rfam:Ipomoea nil DNA, scaffold: scaffold1038, cultivar: Tokyo-kokei standard.